rnacentral:rRNA from 1 species
UACGGAAGGCAGCAGUGGGGAAUAUUGCACAAUGGGCGAAAGCCUGAUGCAGCUAUGCCGCGUGUAUGAAGAAGGCCUUAGGGUUGUAAAGUACUUUCAUCGGGGAGGAAAAACAAAACUAAUAAUUUUAUUUCUUGACGUUACCCGAAAAAGAAGCACCGGCUAACUCCGUGCCAGCAGCCGCGGUAAUACGGAGGGUGCUAGCGUUAAUCAGAAUUACUGGGCGUAAAGAGCACGUAGGUGGUUUUUUUAAGUCAGAUGUGAAAUCCCUGGGCUUAACCUAGGAACUGCAUUUUGAAACUGAAAUACUAGAGUAUCGUAGAGGGAGGUAGAAUUCUAGGUGUAGCGGUGAAAUGCGUAGAUAUCUGGAGGAAUACCUGUGGCGAAAGCGGCCUCCUAAACGAAUACUGACACUGAGGUGCGAAAGCGUGGGGAGCGAAACAGGGAUAGAUACC